AUUCGCAAGACAUUACAUAAACAACACCUUGAACAGCUAUAAAGGUUCUAGGUAUGGUAUCAUGCACUUUUGGUGAAGGUGGUGGUGUCUUAACAUGUUUUGGAGGAGUAGGAGGGUGAUUGUAGUGGGUAGGUGGUGGUGUCUUAACAUGUUUUGGAGGAGUAGGAGGGUGAUUGUAGUGGGUAGGUGGUGGUGUCUUAACAUGUUUUGGAGGAGUAGGAGGAUGAUUGUAGUGGGUAGGUGGUGGUGUCUUAACAUGUUUUGGAGGAGUAGGAGGGUGAUUGUAGUGGGUAGGUGGUUUAGCCGAUGGAGCAGGAGAGUGGACAGGUGCAACAGUUGGUGAUGGGUGGUGGUGGUGGUGGUGAUGUGGUGGUUGAAGAGGAGAAU
rnacentral:lncRNA from 1 species